rnacentral:rRNA from 1 species
GUUGGCUUAGAAGCAGCCACUCAUUUAAAGAGUGCGUAAUAGCUCACUAGUCGAGAGAUCCUGCGCCGAAAAUGUACCGGGGCUAAACUUACCACCGAAGCUACGGAUUUGCAAGUAAUUGCAAGUGGUAGGGGAGCGUCGUAAUCGGGCUGAAGUCGUACCGUAAGGAGCGGUGGACUGAUUACGAGUGAGAAUGUUGGCAUUAGUAGCGAGAUGUAGGUGAGAAUCCUACAGGCCGAAUAUCUAAGGUUUCCUCAGGAAGGCUCGUCCGCUGAGGGUUAGUCGGGACCUAAGCCGAGGCCGAAAGGCGUAGGCGAUGGACAAUCGGUUGAUAUUCCGAUACCACUACCAUCGUUAUUAUCGAGGGUGUGACGGAGAAGGAUAGUGUGUGCUAGCGAUUGGAAAUGCUAGUCUAAGCGUUUAGGGAGUUACGGUAGGCAAAUCCGCUGUAACAAUUCUGAGGCGUGAUGGGGAAGGUCAUUAAGACCGAAGUACAUGAUUCCAUGCUUCCAAGAAAAGCAUCUAGAGAGAGAAGUAGUGCCCGUACCGCAAACCGACACAGGUAGAUGAGGAGAGAAUCCUAAGGCCGGCGGAAGAAUUGCAGUUAAGGAACUAGGCAAAUUGACCCCGUAAGUUCGCGAGAAGGGGUGCCUGCGAGAGCAGGCCGCAGAGAAUAGGCCCAAGCAACUGUUUAGCAAAAACACAGGUCUCUGCUAAAGCGUAAGCUGAUGUAUAGGGGCUGACGCCUGCCCGGUGCUGGAAGGUUAAGGGGAACACUUAGCGCAAGCGAAGGUGUGAACUUAAGCCCCAGUAAACGGCGGCCGUAACUAUAACGGUCCUAAGGUAGCGAAAUUCCUUGUCAGGUAAGUUCUGACCCGCACGAAUGGCGUAAUGACUUGGGCACUGUCUCAACUGCAAAUCCGGCGAAGUUGUAGUGCGAGUGAAGAUGCUCGCUACCCGCGAUUGGACGGAAAGACCCCGUAGAGCUUUACUGUAGCUUAGCAUUGAAUUCCGGUAUUGUCUGUACAGGAUAGGUGGGAGACUGGGAAACUAGGGCGUCAGCCUUAGUGGAGUCAACCUUGGGAUACCACCCUGACAGUACUGGGGUUCUAACAGGACGCCAUGAAGCUGGUGACUGGACAUUGUUAGGUGGGCAGUUUGACUGGGGCGGUCGCCUCCUAAAAAGUAACGGAGGCGCCCAAAGGUUCCCUCAGAACGGUCGGAAAUCGUUCGUAGAGUGCAAAGGCAGAAGGGAGCCUGACUGCGAGACCUACAAGUCGAGCAGGGACGAAAGUCGGGCUUAGUGAUCCGGUGGUACCUCGUGGGAGGGCCAUCGCUCAACGGAUAAAAGCUACCUCGGGGAUAACAGGCUGAUCUCCCCCAAGAGUCCACAUCGACGGGGAGGUUUGGCACCUCGAUGUCGGCUCGUCGCAUCCUGGGGCUGUAGUAGGUCCCAAGGGUUGGGCUGUUCGCCCAUUAAAGCGGCACGCGAGCUGGGUUCAGAACGUCGUGAGACAGUUCGGUCCCUAUCCGUCGCGGGCGUAGGAAAUUUGAGAGGAGCUGUCCUUAGUACGAGAGGACCGGGAUGGACUGACCUCUGGUGCACCAGUUGUUCUGCCAAGAGCAUGGCUGGGUAGCUAAGUCGGGAAGGGAUAAACGCUGAAAGCAUCUAAGCGUGAAGCCCCCCUCAAGAUGAGAUUUCCCAUAGCAUAAGCUAGUAAGACCCCUUGAAGAACACAAGGUUGAUAGGUCAGAGGUGGAAGUGCGGUAACGUAUGUAGCUGACUGAUACUAAUAGGUCGAGGGCUUGACCAA